AGACGACUGGAACAUUUUUAGUCGUGAAGAGUACUCGUUGCCCUGUAUUUUCUGCUCCUAAAAAGCUGAAAUGUUUUGUGGAUUACUUUGGUACGGGGUAUUUGCGGGGGUCGCAUAUGGAUUGUAUCUUUACCUCCAGAAAUUUUGGAUGCAGCAGAAAUUGGAUCGUUUUUCCAAGGAUAAAUGUCCCAAGGACAAAGUGAUUCUGCACGGAACGCCACGCAGCGUCGGGGUCCCCACCGCGUCACCGUUCGUGCUAAAGUUGGAGACUUUUUUGCGAAUGACCAAAAUUGAUUAUGAGUACGACGGUGACCCCAAAAACACUUUCGGCGAGAACGGAAAAACCCCCUGGAUCAGUCUGAACGGCGAACAUAUCGCAGACUCCCAGGUUUGCAUCCAGUUUUUGACAAAGAAAUUCAACAAACAGAUAAAAAACAAUUACAGCGAGAAAGAGAAAGCCGUCGCAAGUCUGGUAAAAUCGACUGUGGAAGAUCGAUGCUUCUGGCAAUUUUUUUGUCAUUGAAAUUUAAUCUGUUAGACCUCUCUGGUGCAUCUGGUAGCUAUUGAUUUCUCGGUAUUAAAGUUGUUCCAAUAUUUCCCCGUAUUAAGUUACACAGGUCUCCGUUAAAAUUUGCUACGGAUAUGGUAAAACUUUAGUACCGGGCUGUGUAUGUAUGUAUCACUGCACCGUAUUAUUUAUCAAUACCGCUUUGGUAGAGUCAUACAUACAUAUGUGAGUACCGCUUGGUAUUAUUUUGACCUCACUGUGACCAUAAUUAAAAAUAAUAAUCUGAUACAUCUGGUGACAAAUAAUUUAAUUUUCAUGAUUUCCUAUAAAAGACAAAUAUGAUUCAACGAGUUUCCAAUUAGUUGUUUUACGAAAAACUUAAACAAUCUAUUUUUUAGUAUUCGUCGAUAUAGGGAAAAUCCAAAAAUUUGAGACCAAAAAAUAUGUAAAAACAAAUUUUUUACCGUAAAGUUUCUCACAAAAUACCAAAGAUACAUACAUAUAUGUAUUCUUAUAUUUAAAAAAAAUUGAAAAGUGUAUGCACGAAACAUAUCUAUCUUUUUUAAUACAUGAUAUCGAUGACCUAUUUUGUGUCUAAGGGACACGUUUCGAAACACGUGUUUCGCCAAAAUGAGGAUCUAAGAGUAUAUGUAUGCACAAUCUUUAUUCCUACCAAUUUUAAAUAGGGAAAUCUUCAUGUGGGCAUUUAUCUGGGGCGGAGAGCGUCACGCAGCUGUAGGAAGGACGCUAGCAAUACCUUGGUAUGCCGUGAAAUUUUUAGGAUUUCAAUACCGAAACGUGGUCUGGGCUCAAGGGAUAGGCAGACAUACGAGGGAAAAUAUUGCAGCUUGGACUUACAGUGAUAUAAAAUCCGUUGCCACCGUUUUGGGGAACAAUAAGUUUCUCCUUGGUGACGAACCCUGCCUCGAAGACUGCACUCUUUUUGGAUUUUGUGGACAAUUAUUUUGGGGAUUUCCAGCCUCAUCUCCUUACUCGAAAUUUGCCAAAGAAGAAUAUCCCAACCUCUAUGCGUACGCUAAUCGAAUGAAAGAUCGCUACUUUCCCGACUGGGAUCAACUUAUUGCAAAAGAAAAAAGUGCCUAGAGCUCUAUCAGUAUUACUUACAUAAAGCUAAUCAUUAAUUAUGCUAAUUUCGGGGAAUUUGCCGCACAGAUUUUAUUUCGUCGCUAAUUUCAGAAGUCAUAAUCACUAACGCAUCGAAAGCUUUAAAAAAUGUUUCUUGAAAAUGUAUAUUUUUUGGGUAAUAAAUAAAUUUUAUUGAUUUCUCAA